GACUACGGAUAGAACGAAACUAGGGUCUCUAGAUUAAUUCUCUAGUACAGUACACCGCUUUCAGUCAUACCUGUGCUUUUCUACAAAACUUAGCCUAUCAACAAAUGGCUAGUGUCAAGCUCUAUUGUUCCAGUGACUCGGAUACUAAACUUAUAUAGUAUAACUUGUGAAAGAAUUUGCCUUAAGAUCUCGUUUAAUGAAGGUACAUUAAUAUAGAUAAGAUGUGCAGGCGUUACUGGCACAAAACCUUGUAUAUAGUGGCCUGUUUAUCAACCACCAUCAGCGUGCUGAUGUUUGUUGUGUUUGGUCUGUUCGUGUCCUCAAACCACACAUUUCUCAUGGCUUGGCUCAAACCCAAGACUCACCAAGACCCCUAUCAUGUCUGUGUGCCGGUGUGAGCUUCUAGCAGACAGACAUCAGACAGAACUAGUGGCUAACUUAACCAGGGAAUCUAAAGACGGACUGGAACUCUGUUGUGCCAGAGACUGGACACAGCU